rnacentral:rRNA from 1 species
AGCAGCCGCGGUAAUUCCAGCUCCAAUAGCGUAUAUUAAAGUUGCUGCAGUUAAAAAGCUCGUAGUUGAAUUUCGGGACCAAUAUGUCGGUCGUGCCUCGGUACGUACUGGCAUCGUUGGUUUCUCCCUUCUGACGAACCAUGAUGUCAUUUAUUUGGUGUCGUGGGGAAUCAGGACUGUUACUUUGAAAAAAUUAGAGUGUUUAAAGCAGGCUCACGCUUGAAUACAUUAGCAUGGAAUAAUGAAAUAGGACGUUUGAUUCUAUUUUGUUGGUUUCUAGGAUCGACGUAAUGAUUAAUAGGGAUAGUUGGGGGCAUUAGUAUUCAAUUGUCAGAGGUGAAAUUCUUGGAUUUAUUGAAGACUAACUACUGCGAAAGCAUUUGCCAAGGAUGUUUUCAUUAAUCAAGAACGAAAGUUAGGGGAUCGAAGACGAUCAGAUACCGUCCUAGU